rnacentral:rRNA from 1 species
CCUACGGGGGGCAGCAGUGGGGAAUAUUGGACAAUGGGGGGAACCCUGAUCCAGCCAUGCCGCGUGUGUGAAGAAGGCCCUCGGGUUGUAAAGCACUUUCAGUGAGGAAGAACGCCUGGUGGUUAAUACCCAUCAGGAAAGACAUCACUCACAGAAGAAGCACCGGCUAACUCCGUGCCAGCAGCCGCGGUAAUACGGAGGGUGCGAGCGUUAAUCGGAAUUACUGGGCGUAAAGCGCGCGUAGGUGGCUUGAUAAGCCGGUUGUGAAAGCCCCGGGCUCAACCUGGGAACGGCAUCCGGAACUGUCAAGCUAGAGUGCAGGAGAGGAAGGUAGACUUCCCGGUGUAGCGGUGAAAUGCGUAGAGAUCGGGAGGAAGACCAGUGGCGAAGGCGGCCUUCUGGACUGACACUGACACUGAGGUGUGAAAGCGUGGGUAGCAAACAGGAUUAGAUACCCUGGUAGUC